rnacentral:rRNA from 1 species
CGAUGAUACGCGAGGAACCUUACCUGGGCUCGAACGUAAGAUGACUGUAGGUGAAAGCUUACAUCUCUUCGGAGCAUUUUACGAGGUGCUGCAUGGUUGUCGUCAGCUCGUGCCGUGAGGUGUCGGGUUAAGUCCCAUAACGAGCGCAACCCCUACCUUUAGUUGCCAUCAGGUUAAGCUGGGGACUCUAAAGGAACUGCCUACGCAAGUAGUGAGGAAGGCGGGGAUGACGUCAAAUCAGCACGGCCCUUACGUCCAGGGCUACACACGUGCUACAAUGGCCGAUACAGAGGGCAGCUACCUGGUGACAGGAUGCAAAUCUCCAAAGUCGGUCUCAGUUCGGAUCGGAGUCUGCAACCCGACUCCGUGAAGUUGGAUUCGCUAGUAAUCGCGCAUCAGCCAUGGCGCGGUGAAUACGUUCCCGGGCCUU